GUCAUUUAGCAACUUUUAGCAACAAAUCGAUCUUCCUUUAGCAACUUCCCCAUGAAAAUGAGUUGGCAACACUGAGAGUGCACCCAUCAAUGAGCUUCAUCCGGCAGCAGCGCAGCACAGGACUUACUCGGAAAGAAUGCCUCCAAAGAAGUGUGUUUUUGGUUAAACGAGGCCCAGUUCGACGCUGGAUUUGCACAUCGUUUGAUACUGAAAGAUGGAGCUGUACCAGCUAUAAAAUGUCCCGGUCAUAAUUCAGAACUGCAGACGGUAAGUGAAAUUGCAUCAAAUGUGUGUUUUGUUGGCAUUCGGCGCCCAAGUGCUCGUCAAUCUUUAGCUCCACCCACGCCAUGCCACCAGGAGCUCGGAUUUUUCUGGAGUGAAUCGUAAAGCUGUAUAUUUCUUUUAUAAAUAUAACGAAACUAAAGACUUUUUGGAGAUAUGAAGGAUGCAGUACUACUCUAUAGGUACUCAAGAUUAACAUGCAACUGGGUAAAACUGUGUGUGUUAUGUCCCCUUUAACAUUAGUUAAUUCAUUAGUUAACAAACUGCCAAUGAAAAAUUCAUAGUUUAUUUCAACAUUUAAUAACACGCUGUUAAAAUCAAAAGUUAUAACUGUACUAUUUAAUGAACCUGAGCUUUUUUUUUUUUUUUUUUUUUAAAGGUGCAGUCUGUAAGUUUAGCCUCUUUGUCGCCAUCUCUGUUUAAAAUCUGAAAUUGCAGUUAUUUGCAGAAUUAUCAUCUGUAAGUGAUAAUUAUUUAUUUGACAUCUUUAUUUGACCCUCUAACUUUUUCCCUCACUAUUCUAAUUCUAUUAAAAAAAAAAAAAAAAAAAAAAAAAAAANUUGGAUAAAAGCAUCUGCUAAAUGACUAAAUGUAAAUGUAAUGUAAAUGUAAGUGGGUUUAUUUUAGAUUUAUUUGACAGGGACAGUCCACAACAAUAAUACUCAAUGAUUACAUCUGGCUCCGCACAGUAAAUUUUAGAUUUAAUGAAAAACAUACAUACAGUUUUCAAAACAUUUAGUUGUAGGCAAUUAUGUUUUAGCAUUCAGCUGCAUGUACAAAAACUACUGUAUCAUCAGCAUACAUCUGGAUGUUGGAAUUGAGACAUACAUUUGGCAAAUCAUUUAUGUGCAGAGUAAAUAAAAGUGGGCCCAAAAUCGAACCUUGUGGGAGA
ensembl:lncRNA